rnacentral:rRNA from 1 species
CCUCGGGGGGCUGCAGUGGGGAAUAUUGGACAAUGGGCGAAAGCCUGAUCCAGCCAUGCCGCGUGUGUGAAGAAGGCCUUCGGGUUGUAAAGCACUUUCAGUGGGGAAGAAAGCCUUGGGGCUAAUACCCUCGAGGAAGGACAUCACCCACAGAAGAAGCACCGGCUAACUCCGUGCCAGCAGCCGCGGUAAUACGGAGGGUGCGAGCGUUAAUCGGAAUUACUGGGCGUAAAGCGCGCGUAGGCGGUCUGAUAAGCCGGUUGUGAAAGCCCCGGGCUCAACCUGGGAACGGCAUCCGGAACUGUCAGGCUAGAGUGCAGGAGAGGAAGGUAGAAUUCCCGGUGUAGCGGUGAAAUGCGUAGAGAUCGGGAGGAAUACCAGUGGCGAAGGCGGCCUUCUGGACUGACACUGACGCUGAGGUGCGAAAGCGUGGGUAGCAAACAGGAUUAGAUACCCCAGUAGUC